UAAGCAAUAGGCUUGUCAACGUCAGUUAAAAGCCUACGAUUAAAAUUACAAUCUGCACGAAUUUUACUGUUACAUGUAACCAAUAUCAAAUAUUAGCAUUCAUGUCUUGCAUUUUACCCUAAAUAACAAAAGAAAUCGCUUUCACCAGUGCAUGUUGGCCUAAUUUGUUACACAUGUAUAUCACAAGCAAUCAUCACGAAUAGAUCAGAGAACCAUCUCCAUUCACUCUUUGUGAAUGAUUAAUUUCUUUGCCACUAAUCGGAUGCCAGCAC
rnacentral:misc_RNA from 1 species